UGUCAAAAGAACCGGGGAGUCUGGCAAAA
rnacentral:piRNA from 1 species